rnacentral:miRNA from 1 species
AUCGCUUGAGCCCAAGAGGUUGAGGCUGCAGUGAGCCAUAAUUGUGCCACUGCACUACAGCCUGGGUGACAGAGUGAAAC